GUGCUCCCUUCUGCAGCACAUAUAUUCAAGUUGCAACAAUACAGAGAUUAGCAUGGCCCCUGGGAAAGAAUAACCUGCAAAUUCAUGAAGUGUUCCAAAUUUUU